rnacentral:piRNA from 1 species
UCCACUCCCAAUUUCUCGCCA